AUACGGAAGGGGGCUAGCGUUGUUCGGAAUUACGUGGGACGUAAAGCGCACGUAGGCGGACAUUUAAGUCAGGGGUGAAAUCCCGGGGCUCAACCUCGGAACUGCCUUUGAUACUGGGUGUCUAGAGUGUGGAAGAGGUAAGUGGAAUUCCGAGUGUAGAGGUGAAAUUCGUAGAUAUUCGGAGGAACACCAGUGGCGAAGGCGGCUUACUGGUCCAUUACUGACGCUGAGGUGCGAAAGCGUGGGGAGC
rnacentral:rRNA from 1 species